GAUGAGCGCUGGCGGCGUGCCUAAUACAUGCAAGUCGAGCGAACAGACGAGGAGCUUGCUCCUCUGACGUUAGCGGCGGACGGGUGAGUAACACGUGGAUAACCUACCUAUAAGACUGGGAUAACUUCGGGAAACCGGAGCUAAUACCGGAUAAUAUAUUGAACCGCAUGGUUCAAUAGUGAAAGACGGUUUUGCUGUCACUUAUAGAUGGAUCCGCGCCGCAUUAGCUAGUUGGUAAGGUAACGGCUUACCAAGGCAACGAUGCGUAGCCGACCUGAGAGGGUGAUCGGCCACACUGGAACUGAGACACGGGCCAGACUCCUACGGGAGGCAGCAGUAGGGAAUCUUCCGCAAUGGGCGAAAGCCUGACGGAGCAACGCCGCGUGAGUGAUGAAGGUCUUCGGAUCGUAAAACUCUGUUAUUAGGGAAGAACAAAUGUGUAAGUAACUAUGCACGUCUUGACGGUACCUAAUCAGAAAGACACGGCUAACUACGUG
rnacentral:rRNA from 1 species